AGGCCCCCCCUAUCACCCUACCCAUCCACAAGAAAAACACUACCUCCCAUUAAUGUGGUGUGUCCUAAGGGAACGGUGGGUUUUGUUUUUUACCAGGGUUCCAUGUGAACAGCAGUUGGACCUGGGUCAGUCGUCCUAAGAAAACGGCGAAAGCUUGCUCGUCUUUCGACAUGAAUUGUAAGACUGAAUAAUGAUCUGCCUAGUGCCCAGGGGAGGCGAAUUUCCCCCCCCAGCCAAAUUC
rnacentral:rRNA from 1 species